rnacentral:rRNA from 1 species
GCGUUGUUCGGAUUCAUUGGGCGUAAAGGGUGCGUAGGUGGCGGGGUAAGUCAGGUGUGAAAUUUCGGAGCUUAACUCCGAAACUGCAUUUGAUACUGCCUUGCUUGAGGACUGGAGAGGAGACUGGAAUUCAUGGUGUAGCAGUGAAAUGCGUAGAGAUCAUGAGGAAGACCAGUGGCGAAGGCGGGUCUCUGGACAGUUCCUGACACUGAGGCACGAAGGCCAG